rnacentral:rRNA from 1 species
UGAGCAAUCUGCCCUUCUCAUCGGAAUAAGCGUUGGAAACGACGUCUAAUGCCGAAUACGACCUCCUUUCGCAUGAUCGGAGGUGGAAAGCUCCGGCGGAGAAGGAUGAGCUCGCGGCCUAUCAGCUAGUUGGUGUGGGUAAUGGCCCACCAAGGCGACGACGGGUAGCCGGCCUGAGAGGGUGACCAGCCACAUUGGGACUGAGACACGGCCCAGACCUCCGUAGGGAG